rnacentral:rRNA from 1 species
AUUGAACGCUGGCGGCAGGCCUAACACAUGCAAGUCGAGCGAGCGGCGGACGGGUGAGUAAUGCCUAGGAAUCUGCCUGGUAGUGGGGGAUAACGUCCGGAAACGGGCGCUAAUACCGCAUACCCUCAGAUGAAACGAUAGGGGAUUAGCUUGGAGGUGAGGUAACGGCUCACCAAGGCGACGAUCCCUAGCUGGGCUGAGAGGAUGAUCAGCCACACUGGGACGGAGACACGGCCCAGACUCCUACGGGAGGCAGCAGUGGGGAAUAUUGCACAAUGGGCGCAAGCCUGAUGCAGCCAUGCCGCGUGUAUGAAGAAGGCCUUCGGGUUGUAAAGUACUUUCAGUCGGGAAGCGUUACCGACAGAAGAAGCACCGGCUAACUCCGUGCCAGCAGCCGCGGUAAUUC